rnacentral:rRNA from 1 species
AGAGUUUGAUCAUGGCUCAGAGCGAACGCUGGCGGCGUGCCUAACACAUGCAAGUCGAACGUGAAAGGGAGCAAUCCUGAGUAAAGUGGCGUACGGGUGAGUAACGCGUAGGUAAUCUACCCCCAAAGUCUGGAAUAACCUGCCGAAAGGCGGGCUAAUACUGGAUAGAGCGAUGGAAUCCGUAAUUGGGUUUUUCGGGAAAGGGAGGAAGCAAUUCCCUUUGCUUUGGGAUGAGCCUGCGUCUCAUUAGCUAGUUGGUGGGGUAAUGGCCCACCAAGGCAUUGAUGGGUAGCUGGUCUGAGAGGAUGAUCAGCCACACUGGAACUGAAACACGGUCCAGACUCCUACGGGAGGCAGCAGUGGGGAAUCUUGCGCAAUGGACGAAAGUCUGACGCAGCCACGCCGCGUGAGUGAAGAAGGCCUUCGGGUUGUAAAGCUCUGUCGAGCGGGACGAAAAUCCUUUCAGUGAAUAGCUGAGAGGACUGACGGUACCGCUAAAGGAAGCACCGGCUAACUCCGUGCCAGCAGCCGCGGUAAUACGGAGGGUGCAAGCGUUGCUCGGAAUUAUUGGGCGUAAAGGGUAGGUAGGUGGUCUCAUUUGUCUGGGGUGAAAGCCUUGAGCUUAACUCAAGAAGUGCCCCAGAAACGGUGGGACUGGAGUCCUGGAGAGGGUCGUGGAAUUCCCGGUGUAGCGGUGAAAUGCGUAGAGAUCGGGAGGAACACCAGAGGCGAAAGCGGCGACCUGGACAGGUACUGACACUCAACUACGAAAGCGUGGGGAGCAAACAGGAUUAGAUACCCCCGUAGUCC